GGAUGUGAAGGAGAUCUGGCUGCGACAUCUGUCACCCCAUUGAUCGCCAGGGUGAUCUGGUUGGCUAGGCGGGUGUCCCCUUCCUCCCUCACUGUUCCAUGUGUGUCCCUCCCGAAGCUGCAUGCUAGGUCAGAGAGGACGGCCUUCCCCAAUAGAGAAGGACCUUUCUUCAAUCAAGGGUAUACAAGUAGCUGCGCUCCCCUGCUAGAACCUCCAUACAACCAAAAAAUAGUGAGACGUUGUGGUGGGCGCCUGUAGUCCAAGCUACUUGGGAGGCUCAGGCAAGGGAAUCCUU
ensembl:misc_RNA 7SK 7SK RNA